UGGGGAAUAUUGGACAAUGGGCGAAAGCCUGAUCCAGCCAUGCCGCGUGUGUGAAGAAGGUCUUCGGAUUGUAAAGCACUUUAAGUUGGGAGGAAGGGCAGUAAGCGAAUACCUUGCUGUUUUGACGUUACCGACAGAAUAAGCACCGGCUAACUCUGUGCCAGCAGCCGCGGUAAUACAGAGGGUGCAAGCGUUAAUCGGAAUUACUGGGCGUAAAGCGCGCGUAGGUGGUUCGUUAAGUUGAAUGUGAAAGCCCCGGGCUCAACCUGGGAACUGCAUCCAAAACUGGCGAGCUAGAGUAGGGCAGAGGGUGGUGGAAUUUCCUGUAUAGCGGUGAAAUGCGUAGAUAUAGGAAGGAACACCAGUGGCGAAGGCGACCACCUGGGCUCAUACUGACACUGAGUUGCGAAAGCGUGGGGAGCAAACAGG
rnacentral:rRNA from 1 species